rnacentral:rRNA from 1 species
CGCUCCCUCUGGCGGCAGGCUUAACACAUGCAAGUCGAGCGGGCACUUUCGGGUGUCAGCGGCGGACGGGUGAGUAACGCGUGGGAACGUGCCCUCUGGUUCGGAAUAACUCAGGGAAACUUGAGCUAAUACCGGAUACGCCCUUUUGGGGAAAGGCUUGCUGCCGGAGGAUCGGCCCGCGUCUGAUUAGCUAGUUGGUGAGGUAACGGCUCACCAAGGCGACGAUCAGUAGCUGGUCUGAGAGGAUGAUCAGCCACACUGGGACUGAGACACGGCCCAGACUCCUACGGGAGGCAGCAGUGGGGAAUAUUGGACAAUGGGCGCAAGCCUGAUCCAGCCAUGCCGCGUGAGUGAUGAAGGCCUUAGGGUUGUAAAGCUCUUUUAUCCGGGACGAUAAUGACGGUACCGGAGGAAUAAGCCCCGGCUAACUUCGUG